UACGAAGGGGGCAAGCGUUGUUCGGAAUGACUGGGCGUAAAGGGCGCGUAGGCUGUGCGGUACGGUUCGGGUGAAAUCCCUCGGCUCAACCGAGGAACUGCCCGGGCGACGGCCGCGCUGGACUGCAUCAGGGGACGAUGGAACUCCCGGUGGAGCGGUGAAAUGCGUAGAUAUCGGGGAGGAACGCCGGUGGCGAAAGCGAUCGUCUGGGGUGCAUGUGACGCUGAGGCGCGAAAGCUAGGGGAGCAAACGGG
rnacentral:rRNA from 1 species